rnacentral:rRNA from 1 species
UUAAUCCUACGGGGGGCAGCAGUGAGGAAUAUUGGUCAAUGGUCGGGAGACUGAACCAGCCAAGCCGCGUGAGGGAUGAAGGUACAGAGUAUCGUAAACCUCUUUUGUCAGGGAACAAAGGCGGGGACGCGUCCCCGGAUGAGUGUACCUGAAGAAAAAGCAUCGGCUAACUCCGUGCCAGCAGCCGCGGUAAUACGGAGGAUGCGAGCGUUAUCCGGAUUUAUUGGGUUUAAAGGGUGCGCAGGCGGAGGUGCAAGUCAGCGGUCAAAUUGCGGGGCUCAACCCCG